rnacentral:rRNA from 1 species
UAGGGAAUCUUCCGCAAUGGACGCAAGUCUGACGGAGCAACGCCGCGUGAGCGAAGAAGGAUUUCGGUUCGUAAAACUCUGUUGUUAGAGAAGAACAGCGCAUAGAGUAACUGUUAUGCGUGUGACGGUAUCUAACCAGAAAGCCACGGCUAACUACGUGCCAGCAGCCGCGGUAAUACGUAGGUGGCAAGCGUUGUCCGGAUUUAUUGGGCGUAAAGCGAGCGCAGGCGGUCAAUUAAGUCUGAUGUGAAAGCCCCCGGCUCAACCGGGGAGGGUCAUUGGAAACUGGUUGACUUGAGUGCAGAAGAGGAGAGUGGAAUUCCAUGUGUAGCGGUGAAAUGCGUAGAUAUAUGGAGGAACACCAGUGGCGAAGGCGACUCUCUGGUCUGUAACUGACGCUGAGGCUCGAAAGCGUGGGUAGCAAACAGG